CCUACGGGUGGCAGCAGUGAGGAAUAUUGGUCAAUGGACGAGAGUCUGAACCAGCCAAGUAGCGUGAAGGAUGACUGCCCUAUGGGUUGUAAACUUCUUUUAUAUGGGAAUAAAAUGUUCCACGUGUGGGAUUUUGUAUGUACCAUAUGAAUAAGGAUCGGCUAACUCCGUGCCAGCAGCCGCGGUAAUACGGAGGAUCCGAGCGUUAUCCGGAUUUAUUGGGUUUAAAGGGAGCGUAGGUGGAUUGUUUAGUCAGUUGUGAAAGUUUGCGGCUCAACCGUAAAAUUGCAGUUGAAACUGGCAGUCUUGAGUACAGUAGAGGUGGGCGGAAUUCGUGGUGUAGCGGUGAAAUGCUUAGAUAUCACGAAGAACUCCGAUUGCGAAGGCAGUUCACUGGACUGCAACUGACACUGAGGCUCGAAAGUGUGGGUAUCAAACAGGAUUAGAUACCCUUGUAGUC
rnacentral:rRNA from 1 species